CGCACCCGCACGCCUCUCGCUCGCGCUCACCGCCACCUCGCCCGCAUGCCUCCUGCACCCGCUCCCGCACCACCGCGCCCGCACGUCGGCACCGCUCCCUGCCAACGUAACCGUGUCGCACUCGGCGCUCCCGCAUCCGCUCCAACGCCACGGCGCCACGCACGCUACCGUCGCUCCCGCAUCCGCCCCCGUCGGCCGCCCCGCCGCUCAACCCCCGCUGGUCGCCCGGUCACUGAGCCCCCGCCGGUCGCGCGGUUGUUGAGCCCCCGCCGGCUGCCCCGCCACUUCGCCCCGCUGGCCGUCCUGCCGCUCAACCCUCAUUGGCCACCCUGCAGAGGCCAGGCGGCGCGGCGGCGACGAUCUCCGUCCAGAUCCGGUCGAGGAGGCGUGGCAGGGGGCGGAUCUUGUUGCGCGUACGGCGUGGAGGCGAUCUAGGACACGCGGGAGGAGGUCCAGCGGAGGGGCUUGAACUCCAAGUUCAUGGCGGCGUUCUUUGCCGGUUCCGAGCGAGAUGGUGAGCCCAGCCCAAACUCACACGCCGACCACCUUCCUCACGGCCGCCACCACGCCAACUCCAACGCAACACCCGCACACCGGCUAGCCGAGCUCAGCCUCCCCAGCACCCGCAGGCGCCUCGCCGAUCCAGCUUUGGCUCUACGGCUCGCCAGUGCAGCACUACUGUCGGGGAUGGUGCGGACGCCGACAACAAGCACUUACUAGGAAAAUUACACAUGCAGUAUGAGGGGAGUGGCGAAGCUGGAGGGGCUAAGGUGCCCUCAACAUGGGUGCUCAAUGGCGCUUUAUAGAGCAGGAGGAAUAUCUCCUGGUGGAGCUUGGCACAAGCGAGACAUUCAGAUGUAACUUCAGUACAGCAGUGCAUUGUUUUUUUUGUAAUUUGUUUUGGGUUGCAGGAGCUUCAAGACAACAAGAUGCAGCAGGCUUCAUGGUCAGUAGUACAUUGAUAUUUGUUUUGGGCUCCAGGAGCUUCUAGACAAACGGGCAACACACUUCAAGGCAACAAUUUUUUCUAUGAUUACAACUCUGAAAUAAUUUGGCCCCUUAUUUCUAAUACCUUUGUGAAAGAAGAGUAAUUGUUUAAUAUGGUCUAUGAGUGUUGGCAAAUUUGAUUGCAGGCUUGCAGCAGGGACUGACAAAGUUAGUGCAGUCCUCACCAUUUCAUAUAUAUUUCAGGGUAAAAUUAGACAUCAAGAACAUGACCAGGCUGGAACUUCAUGCAACAUUGGAUGUGAGAAGGUGCAGUUUCAGUACAAUAUCUUUCAUGAUAAGUGCAACAUAUUUUGUAAAGGAAUGAAGACGGUUUAUUUCAAUGUAUACAGGUCUACUGGUGCAAUGGAGAGAAGCUACUAUACUACUGUAUCUCUGUGUUGCUGGUGCAAAUAGUGUGAGUUCUUCUAGAGGUAAUCUUAUAGUUUCAAUUUGAUGGCUAUACUGCCCCUUGGAUCCUUGGUCCCCAGAUUGUUAUGGUAUGAGUUUGUGCUAACUCUCAUGUUCUAUAUCAGGAAUCUACUGCAAGAUAGAUGUUAAUUUCUAAUGAUGUUCAUAUUCCUGAAUUAUGGUGAAUGGCCGAGUUAGUGUCAUAUUUAUUAUAUGGCAAUGCACUUAGGGAUCACCAUGCUAAUUCAAGUUUUCGUCCAUAAAGCAAGCUAUGUAUGUAAAGAGAUUCCUGGAAAUUCCUACACAUAUUUGGAUAAAUAUGCUUUUUUGGCUUCUUUAUUUUUAGCCCAAAGCAAUGAUAAAUGAGUUGAGAUUCCCGUAUUGAUGCAUUUAGGCAUUCACAAAGAUACACACCUAUAUUUAUCUUUGAGCUCACAAUAAGCUAUAUGAUCACAAAACAUCUAAGGUAUUACUACUUAUGGUUAUUCCUUAUGUUCCAAGUGUAUUUUACUACUUUGAUUUUUUUGGACUAUUAAGGAUCAGUACACCUUUGCUACGAGCUUGAAUUGCCUGAUGCUGCUCACAACACAGGUUUUUCUGGCAAGAUUGUUUUCCUUGCCCCAAAAUAGUAUUAUUGUGCACUAUUUUCCGUUCUUAUUUUUUGGAUCUGCUCGAGAUGCUCUCUUAGCUCUUUUUGAUACUUUCCUCACUUCCUGCAAACUAUGCAUCAAGCAUACAUUGUUGAUGUACAGUGAUGCUCCUUAUAUGGUGAUUUGUUUUCUGGUUGUGCCUACUAGAAUCAGGAUCACUUUUAUGAUCAGAACAUGCCUAUAAUAUCAGUCGCCCUGUGUUUUCAUUAUACUCCCUCCGUUUCUAAAUAUAAGUCUUUUUAGAGAUUCCACUAUGUACUACAUACGUUGCAAAAUGAGUCAAUCUACAUUCUAAAGUAUGUCUAUAUACAUCCGUAUGUAGUUCAUAGUGAAAUCUCUAAAAAGACUUAUAUUUAGGAACGGAGGAAGUAGUACUAAAUCUUCUAAUCUUUGCCUCUUUGAAAUUUUGAUGUACUUCUAGAAAAGUUAAGCUGGCAAAGGCAUCACCGUAUGACGCUUUCAGGUUUUGUUGCAGACCAUCGUGCACUGCGCUAUGUGAAUGUUGAAUACACAUUUUGCAUUUAGCUAGAAGACUCAUUUGAGUCAUUUUCUAUUUGGUACAACAUAUAUUAGGAUUGUAUGUUAAGUGUUGAACCAUUUAACAUGUAUCACUAGAUUUCAGCUCGGUGUAAGAUGAUGUAACUGACAUAUCAGCAGAAUGUCUAAUUUUUAUAUGAGGUACUUUUAGGAAGUAUUUAUUCUUAAUAUUGAUAUAUCAAAGUAAAUAUUGCUGAUUUCAAACACCAUCUGCAAUGACCUGGAUCCAAUAUUAUUUGCAUUGUUCUCUUUUCGAAUUCCUCUUCGAAUGACAGAAAAUUAUGGGAUACUAUCUUCAUUGUCGAUCCAUUUCAUGAGAUAAAAGUCCCUACGUGUUAUGAAUUUUGAUCAUCUUGUUUGUUUUCCUGUUGCCUCACCUUUUAUGUUGAUCACAAGUUUGUCACUCUUAUAGAAUCUUUUGGUACCUCUAAAUCUUCAAUUGGCAUAGUCGAACUCAUGUGAAAUUACAUAUAUGUCGUGUAGGAUACUUGUAUUCAUGCUUUGUGCAAAGUUCAUUUUUUUAUUUCAUGUUUUUUAAAGCAUGGUGUGGCUUCCACAUGCACGAUUGCUGGCAAUGUUUUUGGUCCUCCGGUUUGCAGUUUUCAUGGCCUUAAGCAACACAUUUAGAUAAGGGAUUAGCUUGCAAUAUUCAUAAGAAUUACUCGUUCCGUUCCAUAAUAUAAGGCGUUUUUACAGGCUAUGUUAGCUUGCAAAAAAAUUCUUAUAUUACAGGACGAAGGGGGGGGGGGGUUAUAUUUUUAAUGUACACUUCUUUAUUGUAAUUAAUUGAUACAUGCAUUGCAUGUGCACAUCUAUUGUGAAAUAAUGAUCCAUUAAAACAAUGCUACAUGAGAUAAUAUGUUCAGAUUUCUUUCGUUAUUUGUUGACGUUUAUAUAUUGUAAAUUGUGGUUGUGGGCAUCCCGAAGAAGCUUGUUAUGACAAUUCGAAUUUUCUUGGACCACCGCCACAAGAACAGGUCACUGCAGGGUCCAGAGCGAUUACAUGUCCAUCACUCGUGAUGGCAACAUGCACAUGUAUACGGUAAGCUUCGUGUGGAGAUGUCGAACCAACACCAAUUGGAAGCCCGGAUGAAGAAGGUUGCCGACGGGAGAAUGAGGAAAAGUGAUGAGAUGUUUAUGGUAGCUAAUGAAUGAUGUUAUCUUAGUUUGUGGAUUUUGUUUUGGUCGACUCAGAAACCUUGUUUGGUGUCUGAAGAUCCCCUUUUGCCAACUGUUCAAACCAUCUCUUCAUUAUUUUUGUGUAAAUGAUCAAAGUGCAAUUUAGAUAACUAAGUUAGUCCUUCCAGAAA